rnacentral:rRNA from 1 species
UACAGAGGGUGCUAGCGUUGUUCGGAAUCAUUGGGCGUAAAGGGUGCGUAGGCGGUCGCGCAAGUCGGAUGUGAAAUCUCAGGGCUCAACCCUGAAACUGCAUUCGAUACUGCGUGGCUAGAGUGCUGGAGAGGAGACUGGAAUUUACGGUGUAGCAGUGAAAUGCGUAGAUAUCGUAAGGAAGACCAGUGGCGAAGGCGAGUCUCUGGACAGCAACUGACGCUGAGGCACGAAGGCCAGGGGAGCAAACGGG